rnacentral:rRNA from 1 species
AUUGAACGCUGGCGGCAUGCUUUACACAUGCAAGUCGAACGGCAGCACGGGCUACGGCCUGGUGGCGAGUGGCGAACGGGUGAGUAAUAUAUCGGAACGUACCCAGAAGUGGGGGAUAACGUAGCGAAAGUUACGCUAAUACCGCAUACGAUCUAUGGAUGAAAGCAGGGGACCGCAAGGCCUUGUGCUCCUGGAGCGGCCGAUAUCUGAUUAGCUAGUUGGUGAGGUAAAGGCUCACCAAGGCGACGAUCAGUAGCUGGUCUGAGAGGACGACCAGCCACACUGGAACUGAGACACGGUCCAGACUCCUACGGGAGGCAGCAGUGGGGAAUUUUGGACAAUGGGCGCAAGCCUGAUCCAGCAAUGCCGCGUGAGUGAAGAAGGCCUUCGGGUUGUAAAGCUCUUUUGUCAGGGAAGAAACGGUAGAGGCUAAUAUCCUUUGCUAAUGACGGUACCUGAAGAAUAAGCACCGGCUAACUACGUG